ensembl:lncRNA
CGGGGAGGCAGGCGCUAGGCGGGGUGCUGGCCCGGGAGGGGCGUCCGGGCCAAUUUUUGGUUGGCUGCUGCGCGGGUGAGGACGGCCCAGGGCCCUUUUCAACUGGGCCUCGCCAGCUCCUUCCCUUUUCGGCCGCGCGCACUCCUGGGUGAGUAGACUCUGGACGGCGGUCUGUGGACCCAGCCGCCUGCACCCCCUGCCCUGCGCGGGGACCUCCGGGAUCGGGGCUCCCGCCGGGUCACGGGCACAUGGUCUAUCGAGGAAGCAGAUGAGAUCAGAGGUUCUGAAGCAUUUUGAAAUUUCCUAGUGGAGCAGUAUAAUUCCAGUUCUGGCUGGAAACGGAGGUAAUUUCGCCCACGCGGCCACUUCCCCGCCACAAAUGCCUUUUAGUUGUCACUUUGGAAGGCAUUUGGGAUUUUGAAAAGGUUCCAGGGAGAGUCUAGCGGGAGCUGAAGACCCGUGAGUCAGACACACCGCUCUGAGCCUGAACUGAGGAAGCCCACGUUUCGCCCCCAGAUCCGCCUUUUAGGGGCGGCCGGCGCGGUGUGCUGCGCAGGGCCCGCUUCCAGCUGUUCAGGGAGGGAGGCCUGGCUUUUCUUCCCUGGGGAAAAAAAUCUGAACCCAAGGUUCUGCCUUGGACACGGCCUUAAAUACCUGACUUCUGCCCACCAAGCUAUAGAGCAUACGAGGCCGUCCUGGACAGCUUCUCUCAAGAGUUUCUAAGUCUUGGGGUACGUGUGUCCGUAUUUGGGGUAUUGAUAGAGUUCUCUGCUAGAUAAAAUGGCUCUGGCAAGCCCACCUCCUAAAUGGACCUUCCUGGCAGAUAAUAAGUCAUUCAGGGAAACAAUAACCUAACUUUACCGCCUUGAAGCUUUCCCACUUAUAGUCCUUCCCACCGAGAAAUUCAAAUUGCCAAUGGAUUUAAACCUCACCACUGGCUGCCUCCACUAUGCCCCCCCCCAUACCCCUUGCCCAUAUAAAUAAGAGGUCACCUAGCCAGCCCCUGGUCGCUGCUCUCGCCGUUGUUCGAGACAGCCCGGCACCCCAUCCCCUUAUAAAGGUCUAGUCUCAGUUCGUAUUUUCGCCUCAUACUAAUCCUCUCAGGCUUCACUGAGCAUUCUGAGUGUCAUUAAAGAGGAAGGGAGUGUAGUGUGGGUGGCCCGUGUUCCCGGCAUCUUGUUCAGCCCUAGACCACUUGGACAACUUUCCCUGUCCUGAGUACCCCAAUCUGACAGAUAGCCCUGCACACGGAACAGGGAAUGGGUCCCCUUUGUUUAGCAUUGCUCUUGGUGUUAGGGUUCCUCUUGAGCCAAAGUGUUUAUUCAGUUUGACCUAUGAGAGACGUAAGCAGAGAGCUUGGCAGAUCAAGGCGGCAGCCAGAGCUAGUCUAUUUAAAGGCUGUGGAAACCGGAAACUUCUCAACCUCUGGGUUUAAUCUCAGCUUCAGGGUAAACAAAUGAGUGCUUUUGAUUUUUAAAAAUCUGGAAAAGUUGUGUUUCAGUUUUUCCUAAGAAAAUACCAUAAACGUGAUGCCAUUCCGUGCUAGUGUAUCAGAUAUAGUUGGAAAGAUGGUAACAGUAUAAGGAAUCUUGCUUCAUUUCACUCAUAACUGGAAAUUACAGAAGACUCCCAAGUGUCAGAAAUUUGGAGGUUGCAGCUUUAUAAAAAAUAUCUAUUUAGGGCCGGGAAUUUUAGCUCAGUGGUUCCAGUGCCUGCCUUGCAAGUGCAAGGUCCAGAGUUCGAUCUCCGGUCCCAAAAAAAAAAAAAAAAAAAAAGAUCUAUUUAGAGGUAGUGUUCUAUGUAAUCCUCAAAGAUAGCUUAGUAGAUAGCCAAAAUAGUGGCUGCUCUUCCAAAGAUAAAGUUGUAGCCCGUUAUUAAUAUUGCUGUCACUUUUUUUUAACCAGGCUCAGUGGAGUUCAAGAUGUUGAUAAACAUAAGGUCUGGUACCUGGAAGAAUAGGUGAAGCUUUUCGAGUAGAAAAGGUGUAUCUGUAUGCAAAGUAGAGAUUUUGCCCUAUGCCUAUUGUAGCAGGGGUGAAUUUUGAGACAGGUGCAGUUACACAUAGGAACAGAUAUCUGAGAAUUUUGUGCCUUUGCCUUUUAGUGCAGUUGGUCCCGCAGAGACUAAUUUCUGUAGAAUUCCAUUUUUUUUUUUAAUCAUCUAGUCCCAGUCUGAAACUAUCUUGAUUCAUAUACUCUACAAAGAUUAGUACAUUAAGGUCAAAACAAUUCUAAGUAGCUAUUUCAUAACUAAAGUAUCUCGCUUUUUGAAAAACAUGGUCCUGUAUUUUAUAUGCAAAAGGUCAUUUUAGUGAUUAGAUUUUAAUCCUUUUGGCAACAUGAAUUGAUUCCAAGAGAUUUUUUUGCCUGUUCACAUCUUGUUCCACAAUUGUUCUACUUGAUUAUGGUGGUGGUUACAUGAUUAUGCAUUUGUCAGAUCUCAUGUUUAGUAGAUUUUGCAGAAUGUAAAUUGAUACUUGAAUAAACACAGCUUUCAGAACAUCCUUUCUGUUGUCUUACAAUGUUUCAUUUAUAUAUAUGAGAAGGUGGUUUGGAAUCAUCACCUUACAUGAUUUUGAAAUGUUAGGAACAGCAAAUAUAUGUCAAAGUAAUUUUUUGUGGUGUAAAUGACAUAAGUGACUCAUGCAUACAAUAAAUACCUGAGAAGUAG